GCGGCAGGCCUAACACAUGCAAGUCGAGCGCCGUAGCAAUACGGAGCGGCAGACGGGAGAGUAACACGUGGGAACGUACCCUUUGGUUCGGAACAACCCAGGGAAACUUGGGCUAAUACCGGAUAAGCCCUUACGGGGAAAGAUUCAUCGCCGAAGGAUCGGCCCGCGUCUGAUUAGCUAGUUGGUGGGGUAAUGGCCCACCAAGGCGACGAUCAGUAGCUGGUCUGAGAGGAUGAUCAGCCUCACUGGGACUGAGACACGGCCCAGACUCCUACGGGAGGCAGCGGUGGGGAAUAUUGGACAAUGGGCGCAAGCCUGAUCCAGCCAUGCCGCGUGGGUGAUGAAGGCCCUAGGGUUGUAAAGCCCUUUCGGCGGGGAAGAUAAUGACGGUACCCGCAGAAGAAGCCCCGGCUAACUUCGUGCCAGCAGCCGCGGUAAUACGAAGGGGGCUAGCGUNGCUCGGAAUCACU
rnacentral:rRNA from 1 species